rnacentral:rRNA from 1 species
AUUGAACGCUGGCGGCAGGCCUAACACAUGCAAGUCGAACGGUAACAGGAAGCAGCUUGCUGCUUCGCUGACGAGUGGCGGACGGGUGAGUAAUGUCUGGGAAGCUGCCUGAUGGAGGGGGAUAACUACUGGAAACGGUAGCUAAUACCGCAUAAUGUCGCAAGACCAAAGAGGGGGACCUUCGGGCCUCUUGCCAUCGGAUGUGCCCAGAUGGGAUUAGCUUGUUGGUGGGGUAACGGCUCACCAAGGCGACGAUCCCUAGCUGGUCUGAGAGGAUGACCAGCCACACUGGAACUGAGACACGGUCCAGACUCCUACGGGAGGCAGCAGUGGGGAAUAUUGCACAAUGGGCGCAAGCCUGAUGCAGCCAUGCCGCGUGUAUGAAGAAGGCCUUCGGGUUGUAAAGUACUUUCAGCGGGGAGGAAGGGAGUAAAGUUAAUACCUUUGCUCAUUGACGUUACCUGCAGAAGAAGCACCGGCUAACUCCGUG